GGACUACCUGCACCUGGACAGAAAGACCCUAUGAAGCUUUACUGUUCCCUGGGAUUGGCUUUGAGCCUUUCCUGCGCAGCUUAGGUGGAAGGCGAAGAAGGCCCCCUUCCGGGGGGGGCCCGAGCCAUCAGUGAGAUACCACUCUGGAAGAGUUCGGAUUCUAACCUUGUGUCAGACCCGCAGGCCAAGGGACAGUCUCAGGUAGACAGUUUCUAU
rnacentral:ncRNA from 1 species